rnacentral:rRNA from 1 species
GACGAACGCUGGCGGCGUGCUUAACACAUGCAAGUCGAACGGAAAGGCCCUGCUUUUGUGGGGUGCUCGAGUGGCGAACGGGUGAGUAACACGUGAGUAACCUGCCCUUGACUUUGGGAUAACUUCAGGAAACUGGGGCUAAUACCGGAUAGGAGCUCCUGCUGCAUGGUGGGGGUUGGAAAGUUUCGGCGGUUGGGGAUGGACUCGCGGCUUAUCAGCUCGUUGGUGGGGUAGUGGCUUACCAAGGCUUUGACGGGUAGCCGGCCUGAGAGGGUGACCGGCCACAUUGGGACUGAGAUACGGCCCAGACUCCUACGGGAGGCAGCAGUGGGGAAUAUUGCACAAUGGGCGGAAGCCUGAUGCAGCAACGCCGCGUGCGGGAUGACGGCCUUCGGGUUGUAAACCGCUUUCGCCUGUGACGAAGCGUGAGUGACGGUAAUGGGUAAAGAAGCACCGGCUAACUACGUGCCAGCAGCCGCGGUGAUACGUAGGGUGCGAGCGUUGUCCGGAUUUAUUGGGCGUAAAGGGCUCGUAGGUGGUUGAUCGCGUCGGAAGUGUAAUCUUGGGGCUUAACCCUGAGCGUGCUUUCGAUACGGGUUGACUUGAGGAAGGUAGGGGAGAAUGGAAUUCCUGGUGGAGCGGUGGAAUGCGCAGAUAUCAGGAGGAACACCAGUGGCGAAGGCGGUUCUCUGGGCCUUUCCUGACGCUGAGGAGCGAAAGCGUGGGGAGCGAACAGGCUUAGAUACCCUGGUAGUCCACGCUGUAAACGGUGGGUACUAGGUGUGGGGUCCAUUCCACGGGUUCCGUGCCGUAGCUAACGCUUUAAGUACCCCGCCUGGGGAGUACGGCCGCAAGGCUAAAACUCAAAGGAAUUGACGGGGCCCCGCACAAGCGGCGGAGCAUGCGGAUUAAUUCGAUGCAACGCGUAGAACCUUACCUGGGUUUGACAUGGAUCGGGAGCGCUCAGAGAUGGGUGUGCCUCUUUUGGGGUCGGUUCACAGGUGGUGCAUGGCUGUCGUCAGCUCGUGUCGUGAGAUGUUGGGUUAAGUCCCGCAACGAGCGCAACCCUUGUUCACUGUUGCCAGCACGUUAUGGUGGGGACUCAGUGGAGACCGCCGGGGUCAACUCGGAGGAGGGUGGGGAUGACGUCAAGUCAUCAUGCCCCUUAUGUCCAGGGCUUCACGCAUGCUACAAUGGCUGGUACAGAGAGUGGCGAGCCUGUGAGGGUGAGCGAAUCUCGGAAAGCCGGUCUCAGUUCGGAUUGGGGUCUGCAACUCGACCUCAUGAAGUCGGAGUCGCUAGUAAUCGCAGAUCAGCAACGCUGCGGUGAAUACGUUCCCGGGGCU